rnacentral:rRNA from 1 species
UACGUAGGGUGCAAGCGUUAAUCGGAAUUACUGGGCGUAAAGCGUGCGCAGGCGGUUAUGUAAGACAGGGGUGAAAUCCCCGGGCUCAACCUGGGAACUGCAUCCGAAACUGCCUUGCUAGAGUAUGGGAGAGGGAAGUGGAAUUUCCGGUGUAGCGGUGAAAUGCGUAGAUAUCGGAAGGAACAUCAGUGGCGAAGGCGACUUCCUGGACCAAUACUGACGCUCAGGUGCGAAAGCGUGGGGAGCAAACAGG